rnacentral:rRNA from 1 species
AUUGAACGCUGGCGGCAUGCUUUACACAUGCAAGUCGAACGGUAACAGGUUAAGCUGACGAGUGGCGAACGGGUGAGUAAUGCAUCGGAACGUGCCCGAUCGUGGGGGAUAACGCAGCGAAAGCUGCGCUAAUACCGCAUACGAUCUGAGGAUGAAAGCGGGGGACCGUAAGGCCUCGCGCGAUCGGAGCGGCCGAUGUCAGAUUAGGUAGUUGGUGGGGUAAAGGCUCACCAAGCCGACGAUCUGUAGCUGGUCUGAGAGGACGACCAGCCACACUGGGACUGAGACACGGCCCAGACUCCUACGGGAGGCAGCAGUGGGGAAUUUUGGACAAUGGGCGCAAGCCUGAUCCAGCAAUGCCGCGUGCAGGAAGAAGGCCUCGGUUGU